rnacentral:rRNA from 1 species
UACAGGGGGUGCAAACGUUGCUCGGAAUCAUUGGGCGUAAAGCGCACGUAGGCGGUUCGUUAUGUCGGAUGUGAAAGCCCUUGGCUUAACCGAGGAAGUGCAUCCGAAACUGGCGAGCUAGAGUACGAAAGAGGAUCGCGGAAUUCCCGGUGUAGAGGUGAAAUUCGUAGAUAUCGGGAGGAACACCGGUGGCGAAGGCGAGUUCCUGGACAGUUACUGACGCUGAGGCACGAAGGCCAGGGGAGCGAAACGGG